rnacentral:rRNA from 1 species
AGAGUUUGAUCAUGGCUCAGAUUGAACGCUGGCGGCAGGCCUAACACAUGCAAGUCGAGCGGUAGAGAGAAGCUUGCUUCUCCUGAGAGCGGCGGACGGGUGAGUAAUGCCUAGGAAUCUGCCUGGUAGUGGGGGAUAACGUUCGGAAACGGACGCUAAUACCGCAUACGUCCUACGGGAGAAAGCAGGGGACCUUCGGGCCUUGCGCUAUCAGAUGAGCCUAGGUCGGAUUAGCUAGUUGGUGAGGUAAUGGCUCACCAAGGCGACGAUCCGUAACUGGUCUGAGAGGAUGAUCAGUCACACUGGAACUGAGACACGGUCCAGACUCCUACGGGAGGCAGCAGUGGGGAAUAUUGGACAAUGGGCGAAAGCCUGAUCCAGCCAUGCCGCGUGUGUGAAGAAGGUCUUCGGAUUGUAAAGCACUUUAAGUUGGGAGGAAGGGUUGUAGAUUAAUACUCUGCAAUUUUGACGUUACCGACAGAGUAAGCACCGGCUAACUCUGUGCCAGCAGCCGCGGUAAUACAGAGGGUGCAAGCGUUAAUCGGAAUUACUGGGCGUAAAGCGCGCGUAGGUGGUUUGUUAAGUUGGAUGUGAAAUCCCCGGGCUCAACCUGGGAACUGCAUUCAAAACUGACUGACUAGAGUAUGGUAGAGGGUGGUGGAAUUUCCUGUGUAGCGGUGAAAUGCGUAGAUAUAGGAAGGAACACCAGUGGCGAAGGCGACCACCUGGACUAAUACUGACACUGAGGUGCGAAAGCGUGGGGAGCAAACAGGAUUAGAUACCCUGGUAGUCC